rnacentral:tRNA from 1 species
GGAGAUGUCGCCUAGCUGGUCGAGGGCGCGCGACUGGAAAUCGCGUAAACCACACCAUGGUUUCGGGAGUUCGAAUCCCCCCAACUCCGCCA